AACAGGUUAAUAUUCCUGUACUUGGUGUUACUGCGAAGGGGGGACGGAGAAGGCUAUGUUAGCCGGGCGACGGUUGUCCCGGUUUAAGCAUGUAGGCUGAUUGUCCAGGCAAAUCCGGAUAAUCAAGGCUGAGGUGUGAUGACGAGGCACUACGGUGCUGAAGUAACAAAUGCCCUGCUUCCAGGAAAAGCCUCUAAGCAUCAGGUAACAUUAAAUCGUACCCCAAACCGACACAGGUGGUCAGGUAGAGAAUACCAAGGCGCUUGAGAGAACUCGGGUGAAGGAACUAGGCAAAUGGUGCCGUAACUUCGGGAGAAGGCACGCUGGUGUGUAGGUGAAGCCCCUGCGGGUGGAGCUGAGACCAGUCGAAGAUACCAGCUGGCUGCAACUGUUUAUUAAAAACACAGCACUGUGCAAACACGAAAGUGGACGUAUACGGUGUGACGCCU
rnacentral:rRNA from 1 species